rnacentral:rRNA from 1 species
GGGACAACCCGCCGAAAGGCGGGCUAAACCCGCGUACAUGCCACCGGGGCAUCCCGGAGGCAGGAAAGGCUUCGGCCGGACAGGGAUGGGCAUGCGGCGCAUUAGGCAGUAGGCGGGGUAACGGCCCACCUAACCGACGAUGCGUAGGGGUUCUGAGAGGAAGGUCCCCCACACUGGUACUGAGACACGGACCAGACUCCUACGGGAGGCAGCAGUGAGGAAUAUUGGUCAAUGGUCGGGAGACUGAACCAGCCAAGCCGCGUGAGGGAGGAAGGUACAGAGUAUCGUAAACCUCUUUUGUCAGGGAACAAAGACUGGGACGCGUCCCCGGAUGAGUGUACCUGAAGAAAAAGCAUCGGCUAACUCCGUGCCAGCAGCCGCGGUAAUACGGAGGAUGCGAGCGUUAUCCGGAUUUAUUGGGUUUAAAGGGUGCGCAGGCGGUCUGUUAAGUCAGCGGUCAAAGCCCGGGGCUCAACCCCGGCCCGCCGUUGAAACUGGCAGUCUCGAGUUGGAGAGAAGUAUGCGGAAUGCGCGGUGUAGCGGUGAAAUGCAUAGAUAUCGCGCAGAACUCCGAUUGCGAAGGCAGCAUGCCGGCUCCACACUGACGCUGAGGCACGAAAGCGUGGGUAUCGAACAGGAUUAGAUACCCUGGUAGUCCACGCAGUAAACGAUGAAUAAUGGCUGUCCG